GCAUUUAACACUGACGUUUGAGCAACUGUUAUCACUUAUCUUCGAGUAUCUACACCGGACGAGGGCGGCAUCGAACAUCAACGGAAAGAAGAAAACAAACACAGGGAACAUCACCCGUUCACGAGCAAGGACGCAGAGUGGACAGCUAUACGCAGUAGUGCAAGGACGGAGGCUGUGACGUCAUCCAUCUUGGACUCUACCGCGCAUCGUGCACCGAGAGAAGGCCGUGACGUCAUCACGACUUCCGACGCGAGACGUGGACAGGAACUGUGACGUCAUCCCAUGUCAACAAUCCUUCGCAAUAUAAUCUGGAGCUAAGUACCAUUUUUAUCUAUUCAGGUCUUUUCCUCAGUGAAGUGUUGUUCAUCAAGAGUCGAUCGUCCAGUAUUCUGGGGGUUUUCAAAAAUGAAUCUGUUAUUGUUGGGAGUGAUAUUGUGUAUUCAGACAUCUUUGUUGUAUGGAAAGAGUGCUAGGACUAAAGACAUAGAAUUUAAUCAUGGCUCGAUUAUCGAGAGAAUCGAUGAUGUAUUCAUCGUGUCAAGUAAUAUUGUUAUCGAGGUAGAUAUGCAUGCUAUUUUCCUACCUGAAGAUGACGUCCUUAACUUAAAGAAUGACCUGAUGAGGUUUGGUAUUUCCCUUAAGGAAAUGCAUGAACGUAAUUUUCAUGCUAACUCAGAGAUUUCACUAGCUCAAACGCUAAGCGUCGCAGAAAUGUUGUCUUAUGACAUACAAAAUAAAACCGCCGAGGCAGAAGAACUCGCUCGUGACCUGCUGAUGUGGUCUGUGCGGCACAAUACUCUUGAACGCCGCAACCCGCUUAUUCUAGCUGGACUAAACAUCUUAGGAUCAGUUGCGAAUCUAGGCUUAGGAAUCUCAAAUCGCCUCAAGAUAAAUAAUCAAAAUAAAAGAAUUGAGUUUUUGCACACAAAACGGAACUGGCCUUAUCAGAACUUCGCAGCCAGUUAUCUUCGAUCAAUCAAAUAAUGAAUAUCGUUAAUGAACAUUCAAAUAAUAUCGAUCAGGUCAUGGAAGUUCAACAUUUGCUGGCUACUUUAGCUUACUAUAGUUCGAAAAUAGAUCAUAUCCGUGUGAAAAUAUCACAUUUUAUUGAAAAGUCAAAAGAUUACGUAGAAGCAAUUACGUUAGCAACAAAGGGGUGUGUUAUCUCCUCACCUCAUGCCUAUAAAAGAUCUGACGUUAACUUUAGAAAACGGACGGGAGAAGCUAGGUUAUAUUCCUUUAUUGGAUGCCCAUAAAGUAGAAUUCUAUUAUAGCCUAAUAUCAGUCAGCGUAGAAAA